rnacentral:tRNA from 1 species
GGUGCCAUAGCCAAGUGGUAAGGCGUAGGUCUGCAAAACCUUGAUCGGCAGUUCGAAUCUGCCUGGCACCUCGA